GCGCCGUUGAAUUCACUCCCCCAUCAGCCAACUCGCCGCCGAUCUCGCUCCUCCUGUCCAUGGCCUCCGCCACUGCCAGCCGAUGGCUCAGACCCGAGGCCUAUCCGAUCUUCGCGGCGACGGGAGUCGCGAUAGGCUUCUGCGCCUUCUCGCUCGUUCGCCACAUGUGCAUCAACCCCGAAGUCAGAAUCAUCAAGGAACACAGGGCCGCAGGUGUCUUGGAAAACUUUGCUGAGGGGGAGAAGUACAAAGAAAACUUUCUCAGGAAGUAUGUGCGAGGCAGAGCACCGGAGAUCAUGCCGUCUCUCAACAAGUUUUUCACUGAUCCGAAGUGAUCCUUUUCAGUUGUGAAGCAACUGCAUGUUAUUCCGCUGUUCUAUGCGGGGAUUAUAUUGUGUGCCCAGCAUUUUCAGAAACAUUCGUGGUUAGGAUAAAAAAUGGCUGUUCUGAACCCCAGUGUUAAGC
rnacentral:misc_RNA from 1 species